rnacentral:rRNA from 1 species
UACGUAGGGUGCAAGCGUUGUCCGGAAUUAUUGGGCGUAAAGCGCUCGUAGGCGGUUUGUCGCGUCUGCUGUGAAAACGCGAGGCUCAACCUCGCGCCUGCAGUGGGUACGGGCAGACUGGAGUGCGGUAGGGGAGAUUGGAAUUCCUGGUGUAGCGGUGGAAUGCGCAGAUAUCAGGAGGAACACCGAUGGCGAAGGCAGAUCUCUGGGCCGUAACUGACGCUGAGGAGCGAAAGCGUGGGGAGCGAACAGG